GCGGAGGAUCAUUGUCGUUGCCUCUCGAAAACACGACCGUUGCACGCGUGACAGAAUGCUGCCGGGGAGGCGCUCGCCGCCUCCUCGGCCCCACCGGCCUCUUCCCUCUCGCCCCCCGGGCGCGUCGGUCGCUGGCCGGAAUACGGCGCGGGUGACCCCCAGGAAAACAAAAAAGCUGAAGGAGCCGCCAGCCCUUCGACGGUUGGCCCGGUUGCUUAGGCCAAUGAAAAAAAAAUAUGACUCUUGGCAACGGGAUAUCUCGGCUCUCGCAUCGAUGAAGAACGUAGCGAAAUGCGAUACGUGGUGUGAAUUGCAGAAUCCCGUGAACCAUCGAGUCUUUGAAACGCAAGUUGCGCCCGAGGGACCCUCCCGAGGGCACGCCUGCCUCAUGGGCGUUAGAAGCCCAUCCACGCUCGGUUGCCUCACGGCAGAGAUGCGGACAUUGGCCCUCCGAACCCCGAAGGCGCGGUGGGCCUAAGUGUGCGGCCGUCGUACGUGGCCGGGAGCGGGGAGUGGUGGGGUACUCUGCGCACGUCACCCCGAGCUCCGUACCGACGCAGGGCCUUGUUUGAUCCCCUAACGAGGAGCAUGCCGUCGCGGCCUGCGCCGCGCGGCGCCUUCGGACCGAUACCCCAGUCAGGCGGGUACCAGUUGGAUC
rnacentral:rRNA from 1 species